rnacentral:lncRNA from 1 species
GGCAAAGUGUGGGGCUCUCAAGCUGGGCUUCCAAGUAAUUUCAGCCUUGCACAUGGAUUACAUUGAGAUUGAAACGGAUUGUCAAGUGUUUUUUUAGCUCAUUUCUGAUCGAAGAAGAUUGUCCAAUCAUGAUUAAAGAUUUUCUCCUGGAUAUCCUGCAACUGCUCCAAGGUAUUGAACAUCAUCAAGUUCGUUGUAUCUACAGAGAAGAGAACUCAGUGGCAGAUUCUUUCGCAACUCAUGCCAGCGAAGGAUGAUUCUUCUUCUUCUUUUAAAUUAAUCUCUACAAUAAUCUCUCAAGUUGAUUUUCUUAUUCUUCUGAAUAAGGUAUGACAUACAACCAUUCCCUACUUAGGGUUUAACUUUUAAUCAUUCUCUUGAUUUAAUUUCAAUUAGAAAUCUUUAUCUUCUUCACCAUUUGUUGUUGUUAAGUCAAUCAAUCAAUCAAUCUCCAUAUCUACUUCUUUUUGUUUGCUUAUAUAAUGUUUUUAUUUAUUUAUUUCUAUCUUGUGUUGUUCUUCUUAUUCAUUUAAGUUACUUUGUAUGUAUUACACUUGUUUUUCUCUUUCUAUUUUUUCAAUUUUAUUCUCCAAUACCAAUAUGGCUUUUGUUAAAGAUGGAUCGAAUUUAAGUCAAUUUUAUUCUGCGUUACAGAUUCACACGCUUGUAGUUACAGAUUAUGAAAUGGACUAUAUAGGUAACAAAUUCACACGCUUGUAGUUAAGUUUAUAUAGUUAAUUUUGUUUACAUUCUUUGGCUAAUUAAUAGGCUAAUCCAUGUAGAACUAACAGGUGACAAUAAUUUUUUUCCAUAGAGUUUUGCAGACCUCAUGGAGAGUUCAAUUAUGCACAAAGACAAGAUUUUAAUCUGAUGGUAUUGAUUUUGAUUUUUGUGUUCUAAUCUUGACAAUGACCAAGCUAGUCACUAAUUCACUGUUUCCUAAUCUGUUUUAUAUCUUUGAACACAAAAUUCCAAAUUGUGUGUUUUAAAAGAAUUUUGUGUUUGAAGUCAAGAACGAAGUAGGCCUACAUGAGUCGAUCAUUUUGGUUGAAUUCACAAUGUCAUGAACAGUGUCUGAAGUGUCUGAGUAACGACUAACGAGUGAAAUAAAAUGUGGAAGUGGUUUGUAAUUGGUAUUGAACGUGUUUGUCUUAUUGUUGUUGUAGACUUGUAGUAGUUUAUGAGAGAAGUUUGAAAACCAGAAAUUGCACUUAUAAUUAAGCUAGUCUAAUAAUCCUUGUGGUGCAGAUCCACCCAAUUUGACAUAAGCCACUUAGUCAGACCAUCUUCUUAGUAAUCCAUUGAUUGACAUUGGAUGUGCAGUACGUUACAUGUGAAAGGUAUGCUUAUUUAUUUAAGAAAAACAUUGCAAUCUCUAUGAUAAAGUGUGUGUAGUACUCGUGAACAUCAUGUUUUUUUGUUUAAUUUGUUAAGAUAUCCUAGCAAUUUAGCUUACAGUAUUGUUGAACAUGGCCACUUGCUAACAUGUAAUCAAUAAUUUCAGGUCUAUUUGAUUAUUUAGUAGAGAGAGCAACCAACCAAAUUCCUGUUGUUGGUUUCUCCAUGAUAGACUGGUUCAGAUAAGCUGAUCAUGAUGCCAAAGAGAAGUACUUUGCUGAUGAUUAUUAAUGGACAGAUUCUCCUAGCAUAGAUUUAUGUUCUUAACCUCUUGAAGAAGCAAAAUGUACUUUACAACUUUUGUUGAAGGUUUUAUUGUGUGAAAUUUUAUGUUGUUAAACAGUUGUACAAUUUUUAAUUGAAAGGUAAGGCAUGUUGCUUGUAUUUAGUAAAAAUAAUGUUUACU